UGCAAACUGCGAAUACCGGAGAAUGUUAUCACGGGAGACACACGGCGGGUGCUAACGUCCGUCGUGAAGAGGGAAACAACCCAGACCGCCAGCUAAGGUCCCAAAGUCAUGGUUAAGUGGGAAACGAUGUGGGAAGGCCCAGACAGCCAGGAUGUUGGCUUAGAAGCAGCCAUCAUUUAAAGAAAGCGUAAUAGCUCACUGGUCGAGUCGGCCUGCGCGGAAGAUGUAACGGGGCUAAACCAUGCACCGAAGCUGCGGCAGCGACGCUUAUGCGUUGUUGGGUAGGGGAGCGUUCUGUAAGCCUGCGAAGGUGUGCUGUGAGGCAUGCUGGAGGUAUCAGAAGUGCGAAUGCUGACAUAAGUAACGAUAAAGCGGGUGAAAAGCCCGCUCGCCGGAAGACCAAGGGUUCCUGUCCAACGUUAAUCGGGGCAGGGUGAGUCGACCCCUAAGGCGAGGCCGAAAGGCGUAGUCGAUGGGAAACAGGUUAAUAUUCCUGUACUUGGUGUUACUGCGAAGGGGGGACGGAGAAGGCUAUGUUGGCCGGGCGACGGUUGUCCCGGUUUAAGCGUGUAGGCUGGUUUUCCAGGCAAAUCCGGAAAAUCAAGGCUGAGGCGUGAUGACGAGGCACUACGGUGCUGAAGCAACAAAUGCCCUGCUUCCAGGAAAAGCCUCUAAGCAUCAGGUAACAUCAAAUCGUACCCCAAACCGACACAGGUGGUCAGGUAGAGAAUACCAAGGCGCUUGAGAGAACUCGGGUGAAGGAACUAGGCAAAAUGGUGCCGUAACUUCGGGAGAA
rnacentral:rRNA from 1 species